rnacentral:rRNA from 1 species
UACCAGCACCCCGAGUGGUCGGGACGAUUAUUGGGCCUAAAGCAUCCGUAGCCGGUUUUACAAGUCCCCCGUUAAAUCCAGCUGCUUAACAGAUGGGCUGCGGAAGAUACUAUAGGGCUAGGAGGCGGGAGAGGCAAGCGGUACUCAGUGGGUAGGGGUAAAAUCCUCUGAUCCAUUGAAGACCACCAGUGGCGAAGGCGGCUUGCCAGAACGCGCUCGACGGUGAGGGAUGAAAGCUGGGGGAGCAAACCGG